AUGGACAGAUUUAGGGUGCAUGGACUAUUCAUUAAAAUGGAGUUUAGGUGUAUUAGUGACGGACCUGAUUUAAUAUUCAGUCUUAAGUAGAGAUGUAAAGAAGUAAUUAACAAGGUUUAGUUUUAAACAUAUAAUUACUGGACUAAUAGACAAUUAAAUAUAAGUGCAGGUUAUCAGGAUAAUACAGCUUCACAUGUUCAAGGGUGAAACUGCAACUUCACCAAUUAAAACACUGAUGGGCUAAUGAAUUAAAUGACGAAUGGGCCGAGGUGUUUAGACAAUGGUGAAAGAGGUCCAGUAACAAAUUAGUUAAUUAAAGAUAGUUAAUUAGUUAGUUUGUUGUUAAGGUUGAUCUGAUUGUUUUUAGUCAAUAAGUAGUGA
rnacentral:lncRNA from 1 species